GUGUCAGCAGCCGCGGUAAGACAGAGGCCACGAACGUUGUUCGGAAUUACUGGGCAUAAAGCGCGCGUAGGCGGCUGGGUCCGUCCGAUGUGAAAGCCCCCGGCUCAACCGGGGAAGUGCAUCGGAUACAGCCCGGCUUGAGGACGGUUGGGGUGAGUGGAACUCCUGGUGGAGCGGUGAAAUGCGUAGAUAUCAGGAGGAACACCGGUGGCGAAAGCGGCUCACUGGACCGUUACUGACGCUGAGGUGCGAAAGCUAGGGGAGCAAACGGGAUUAGAAACCCCAGUAGUCC
rnacentral:rRNA from 1 species